GGGCAUUUGGUCUAGUGGUAUGAUUCUCGCUUAGGGUGUGAGAGGUCCUGAGUUCAAUUCUCGGAAUGCCCC
rnacentral:tRNA from 1 species